GUGAAAAUAGGAGAACCAUGAGCAAUAUUUACAAUAAUGAUAUAUCCAACUCAGGAAAUUGCUACAACUGCCUUUAUCAAAAUAAACAAACCCCGUAUUUUUUUCCUCCCGUAAGAGAAAAGCAAAAUCCUCCACUAUUAAAAUUAAUUUGGCUUGGUAUCUGUUUGGUAUUUGGAUCCGACCGCCUUAUUCCCCAUUUUUGGCCUCAUUUGGACAAAAAAAAAAAGAAAAAAAAAAGAAAAACACAAACCCACAACAAACAGAGGCCCAAACCGACACACACACACACACACACACACACACACACACACACAGCCCCAGCUGCCUCGCUCUGUCUCACAGGAGCACACACGCAGCCCCGCUCCAAGCUGACUCUGGCCACGGGGCACGGUGAGGCACGAAACCACCGCCCCGGGGCACCAGCUUGGUGUGGGAGUGUUGGAUCACUGCCUGCUCGGCACCGCACAACUGCACACCCAGAGCCGGGCGGUUCCAGGGGCACCGGCCCUGCGGAUCACCCCAUCCCGGGGCUUGGGCUUGCUGGGUGCCAGCCCCAGCAUCGCACGCUGGUUCCAAGUUUACUGAAGCAUGCUGCAGCCUUUGCUGCUGUGCCCAGUUUGCAGAUGGACUUUGUGCCAUCAAAAGGGAGAAGGUUUUUUUGGUUUUUUGUUUUGAUUUGUUUUGUUUUGUUUUAGAAUAUGCCAUUUCAAAGUAAAUUGAUUUCUUCUACUGAAAAAGUUUUUAGGAUUAAAGAGCCCUCGCUGCAUACAGAAAAACAUUUCUCCUAUUCCAACUCUUUCUGUGCUCAAAUGCCUCUUUCCUAGGCGUGUCCUAAAACGCAGAGGUAUGUCGCAGUCAUUCUAAAAGUUGUUUGAAACGUUAAGGUGAGGCUGGGCUUCUGCUAAAGGGUGAGACCCCCAGGGCCAGGAUCGCUGCCCUCCAGCGGGAUGCUGCCCACCUGCGCUGGCCCAGAAGAAGCACCAGGAGCUCAAAAGCACGGCCACCCCUCUGGGGGCAUCCCCAGAGAACCCGCAGCCACCCUUCCCGGGGCCGCAUCAGCUGCCCCUCUGCAGGUGACCACAGCGCCUUUGGGACCCCACGUCCUAAAGCUGGAGGUCUGAGCUCCAGGAGGAGAGGCAGUGUGAAGCCAUGAGAGCACUGGAGGUCUAUCAACAAAGUAUUAAUGUAGAAGCCCGAGUGAAAAGCAGAAAAGAAAAGAAAAAAAAAAAAAAAAAGAAAGAAAGAAAAGAAAAAAGCAAUCAAUGAAUGCCAUUCCCCAGCUAAGAGACGAGCCACCAAUUCUUGGCACAGCGAUAGAGAAAACCUUGAAAAGUUUCGCUCGGGUUCUGGAAUAAAGCUUUGGAUAAAAUGGAGCAAGUAGUUUGCGCGGUCGUCGUGCCAGUGAAUAGAUCUGCUGCUCUGGAUUUCAAUUAACUUAGUUUGUUCAGCGGGGAGGCACUUCAGCUGCAACCGGGGAGCUGCAAGUUAAAGGACAGCGAGAAAAACAGCGCAACAACAGCCAGAAAAACCUGUUGGCAGCAGAAGUUUGCACCGGCUGCAAGCAAAAUCAAAUCACAUCAAAUCAGGGGGUUUUAAAGAAAUCUUUUAAAGGCUUUGAAGGUUUCGGAGGAUCUCCGAGGCAGUCCCAGGUGGGCUGGGAAUACUGCUUUAUGCACCUCUUUGUGCUAAGAGGAAGGCCUAACGCAUUUGUUUUUUUGUUUGAAGAAGUCAGCCUCUCGCUAUUAAAUCAAUUAUUUUCUCUUUAAAAAGGUGAUCGUCGCUGUGGAGAGACCUCCACCGAUCAGCGUCCAUUUUACAUAAUUACUUCGGGUUCUCCAGAACAUUUUAUGUAACUCACUUCCACGGCUGCCUCUGUCCUUUCUCCUCUCUCUCCGUCACCGGCAGAGCAGCAGCUCAGCCCUCCGCCAGCACUGACAGGAGCUCACAUAAAAGGACCAUUUCGAAUGGAUCACUGGGAGCAGCCCCGAGAACCCACAGGAAACGUGGGCUCCGAAACUCGACAGUGCUCAGCGGGCGACGAAACGCAUCACACAUCCCUCCCCAGCCAAAUAUGUGUAUGCAUAUAUAUAAACAUAUACAUAUAAUAAGGAUUAAUUCGGAGGAAAGCUCCGAGGUUUGAAACGACAAAUAAGCAGGGAUAUUUGCGCGAGGAAAAAAAAAAAAUGGUAAAUAAAUAGUUACUGGUGCUGGACAAAAUGGCUCGAUAGGUUUCAUAAUUUGCCACCGCUGUAAAAAAUAUCCCCUCCCUUCCCCCUGCCGUCCCCGCCGGCACGGACGGAAGCGCGGAGCGGAGGGUGGGGGGCAGCCGAGGAUACCAACUCCCUCCGCCAAAGUUUGGGUCCUUCCGAACCCGGCGAUGCCUCCAUAACGUGACAUCAGCUCCGAGAGACAAAAGUUGAGAUCUGCGUCUCCUUUCUGCCCGGGAAAGGAAACUGGAAAAAUACUAAUAAUGAAAAAUAGACGUUAAAAAUACCCGAGAGGAAAAAGUCGACGGACGAUCACCCGAAUUAACCCCCUCCGCCCCCGCAGGCAAACAGACAAACGACAAAACCUCCGGCUAAAGCCCCGUCGGGAGGAGUGGAACCUGCUUUCUCCGCUUUCUCUUUUCUGCUUUUAUUUAACGUAUGGCGAGCCUGGACUUCAAACUUAUAGCCGACACACGGCCACACAACAAAGAGUCCCCGUUCACCCCCGUCGCCGGCGCUGCGGGCAGAAGUCGUCGGCAAAUAGUAAUAAAAGCCAUUUAGCGGUGCAACGCAUCCAGCGCGCCGUGUUCCGCGAGCAGACAUAAAUCUCUCACGACGCUCUCCCAAACAGGCCAAGGGUAGUUCACAUAGAGGGCUGGCUUCGCACACGCUCACCCCGCUCCUCGUAUUCUUUGGAUGGAGGAAGGCUGGCAGCAAGGUGCACAGACAAAAGACCGGGGAGCCAACGCACGCAAUCACUCGCUGCUACAUCUUCACGUAUUUUUACAAUACGCUCUCCUAUCCACACCGCUUCCAAAAUAAUUUUCAGCCAGCCCUGCCUCUCGUCGCACGUAAACUUACGCCGUCACAGGAAUUCUGUUGACUCUCAUGAUGACAUAUGAAAGUGGCAAAACGAGGUUUUGCGCCCGGAUUUCGCCUUCAGACAAAGCUCCCCCAGCAACUUCAUCAGCAGGGAAUUAUAGUUUCACCCGGAGAAACUGGGUCCAAGGGAAAAAGAAAAUAAAAGUUAAGUGGUAUUGCCAUGGCUAUGCUAUGAAUCAUAGAUUCACAGAAUCACAGAGUCAUUGAAUCACAGAAGGGUUGGGUUAGAAGGGACCUGGAAGCCCAUCCGGCUCCAAGCCUGUGCUGUGGGCAGGGCUGCCCCAAAGCAGCUCAGGCUGCUCAGGGCCCCAUCCAACCUGGCCUUGAGCACCUGUAGGGAUGUGGAAAAUCAGUGGACAAACAAACGAGGAUCCAAAUCUUUUGAUGUUGAAUGGAGAAUUUACCUCAAGUAACUCAGAGUCAACUAAAAGUUAAGCGUCCUGUCUGAAGCAGUCGCAUAGGCUCUCCGUGUUGUUGGUGGAGAGACAGGCACCUCCAAAAAGCCCUUCCACCCAGCUUCCCAUGCCCCUAAAUGAGGAGGGAGCCUACAGAACACAAUGAGUGCCAGAUUUGGAGAGAGCCUGCUCACCAUCACCUCCUCUCAAGUAUGUGAGCAGUUGGUGCUAAUGCACUUGGUUCACCUGCAAGAAGAGGGAAGACUCAGAGCCCUAAGAACAUGCUGAUCUUCAAGAGCAAAUGGGAAACAGGGAAAGUCAAACUCUUCCCCAGACCUGAUACGGCUGCGCAAGUUUUUGUUGCACAUGACAAGAUUCUGGAUGACAGACUGGGAGGGAAGGAAUGUGCUUCAGUGCCAAAUAA
ensembl:lncRNA